rnacentral:piRNA from 1 species
UGAAAGGAAGUUAUGUAUUUCCAAGUUGGGU